rfam:Ciona savignyi cont_27666, whole genome shotgun sequence.
GCUGUGAUCGUAUAGUGGUUAGUACUUCACGCUGUGGCCGUGACAACCCAGGUUCGAAUCCUGGUCACAGCA